GUGCCAGCCGCCGCGGUAAUACGUAGGGGGCUAGCGUUAUCCGGAUUUACUGGGCGUAAAGGGUGCGUAGGCGGUCUUUUAAGUCAGGAGUGAAAGGCUACGGCUCAACCGUAGUAAGCUCUUGAAACUGGAGGACUUGAGUGCAGGAGAGGAGAGUGGAAUUCCUAGUGUAGCGGUGAAAUGCGUAGAUAUUAGGAGGAACACCAGUAGCGAAGGCGGCUCUCUGGACUGUAACUGACGCUGAGGCACGAAAGCGUGGGGAGCAAACAGGAUUAGAUACCCUGGUAGUCCACGCCGUAAACGAUGAGUACUAGCUGUCGGAGGUUACCCCCUUCGGUGGCGCAGCUAACGCAUUAAGUACUCCGCCUGGGGAGUACGCUCGCAAGAGUGAAACUCAAAGAAAUUGACGG
rnacentral:rRNA from 1 species